CCCCUCUGCCUCACAAACUUGGUCCCCAUCCUGUGACAUCGUCUCCGUCCGCUUCUUCUUCACCACCUGUAGAGAAGAGAGAAUGCUUCUAUUGCUACGAGGUGGGUCACAUCAUUUCUGUUUGUCCCGCGCUAAAGCGUAAGAAUGCUCGUGCUGUAACUAAGAAAGUACAUGUUGUUGCCUGUCCUGAUGGUAAUUCAAUUAGUAUUGUUGAUCCAAUGUUCUGUUUCCUGCUUCUGUGUCGCUUGGUGAAGCCAAGGUACGUCACCCUGCGACUAUCCUAUGGGAUACGGGAGCGGCUCAGUCUUUCUUAAUUGAACCUUUAGAUGGUACAACUUACUGUGGCACCGACGUAUUGGUGCAGGGUAUCGAUAUAUGUGUGGCUGUAGUUCCUUUGCAUACUGUUUAUCUAUGUACUAUGUACUCCUGACUUUUCGGGAUUUGUACGUGUUGUGGUCCAGACCCAGUUACCUGUUCCUGGGCUCACGUUCAUCCUGGCGAAUGACAUUGCGGGGAAGAGGAUUGUUCCCCUACCUGAAGUUGCUCCAGAACCAGAGAUCUGCGCAAAUGAUGUUGCAGCGGAUUUGUCCCAGGUGUUUCCAGCUUGUGUUUUAACGUGGGCCCAGCGACGCAAGUUCACCGACAUUAAUCUGGCACGAGAAAUAGGUCCCCUCCACUACGGACGCUCUGAUCACUGCACAAACGACAGACUCCUCCUUGGAGGUUUGUCGUGCCUCUGUUGUGGACAAGGCCGACUUGAAAGACCACCCCACUGCAUACUUCUAUCGUAACCAAGUGCUGAUGAGGAAAUGGCCCUCUCCAGAACUUGACACCUCAUCACCUUCAGUUAUUCACAGAUGGUUUCUGUUUUUCUUGGUUCUGUGUUCUUUUGUGUUUGGGUGCUUUUCCUUGUAUGACCCGAUUGGGACUGUGAACACCUGCCGGGUUCGCUCUUGUGUGUGUGUGGGGGGUGAUACGUGCCUUCCUGCCCUCGUCCCGAUUCGCUGGCUGCACCUUCGGCUCCGCCUCUCCAUCCAGACCCCGCCCACGACUCGUCCGAUGCACCGCUCGUCAUUUCCGGGUCCUGAGAAGAGAAGAUGGCGGCUAGACAACCUCGGGAGCUCUGCUUAUUGGUUUACUGUAUUGGUUUGCUUGCCCGUGUAUGACUGUUUUGGUUUCUGAUUUCGGCUUCGCCCUCUUUUGGUACUUUUGCUCUGGUUUGUUGUUUCCUUGGUUUGACCCUUUGCCUGCAUUUUCUGACUGUCCGUUUGCUUUUGCCCUUCUGUACUGUCACCAGAUUUUGUGUUUCUUGUGAGUUCGUGUCUUGGUGUGUAAGGAGUGACUGCCAGUUUGCUUUUGCGCAACGUGAUGUGUUAUUGUUAAUUUGGGUAGGGAGUUAGGUAUUAGUAUUGUCGUUUUGUUUGUAUUUUGUUUUCUCAGUUAUGAUUAGCUUAGUUUGGGCAUUCGUGCGGUAGUGGCGUUUUGUUUAUUAUUUUGGCCGUGGUCACUCCUGAAGUCUGAUACACCCAAUGUUGUGAAAGUGUGUAUAAAAUAUAAAAAAACUAAAAAAAUA